AUGUGCGUUUGGGCCCAUGGCUUAUGCAUCCAUGACUACUUAUACUUCCAAGUGCUGAGUCUUGGGGAUAUUCGAUACAUCUUCACAGCCACACCUGCCAAGGACUUUGGUGGGAUAUUUCACACACGGUAUGAGCAGAUUCACCUCGUCUCUGCUGAACCUCCAGAGGCCUGCGGGGAACUCAGCAACGGCUUCUUUAUCCAGGACCAGAUCGCUCUGGUGGAAAGGGUGGGCUGCUCCUUCCUCUCUAAGACCAGGGUGGUACAGGAGCAUGGUGGGCGGGCUGUGAUCAUCUCGGACAAUGCAGUUGACAAUGACAAUUUCUAUGUGGAGAUGAUCCAGGAUAGUACUCAACGCACAGCUGACAUUCCUGCCCUCUUCCUGCUCGGCCGAGAUGGCUACAUGAUCCGACGUUCUCUGGAACAGCAUGGGCUACCAUAGGCCAUCAUCUCUAUCCCAGUAAAUGUCACCAGUAUCUUUGAGCUGCUGCAACCUCUGGGGACUUUCUGGUAGAAAAAAAGGUGACACCAGGUUCCAGUGACAAGUGACUCGUGGGAAGAGGAAACCCAAGAUUCUGCUAUUUGGAGUUUGGAGAUAGAUUCUGAGGACAAGUGAGCCAGGGAGAGGACAGGGAAGCCGUACUUCGGGCUUUCCCUACCCUAGGGCCGGCAAGGACAUCUCGUGCUUCAGGAAGAGGCUUCUGUCUAGAAUUUGAACAAAAGGUGCUGAAGGCAGGUGGCCCUGACACUUACCACUUGUUUCAGCUCCCAGCAGCCAGCACCUCCUCACAAUGAGCUUUGUAGCUGUUGCUGAAGUGGUUUAAAGAAGUGAUAUUUGGGAACUAAUAAACCCCUACUUUUAGUAAUAAAACCAAAUAAAGCUCAUCAGGUUUGUGCCUGUGUC